AAAUAAUCUCUGUAUACCGUAGACAGCAGGAGCUUUUUAAGGCUUAAAUUUCCUGCCGAGGCACAGAAAAAUGCUUUUCUGCCCCCGUAUGUCUAUAUGGGGGUUGUUUUUUUG
rnacentral:sRNA from 1 species